rnacentral:rRNA from 1 species
AAAGGGUGCGUAGGCGGCCUGUUAAGUCAGGGGUGAAAGACGGUAGCUCAACUAUCGCAGUGCCCUUGAUACUGAUGGGCUUGAAUGGACUAGAGGUAGGCGGAAUGAGACAAGUAGCGGUGAAAUGCAUAGAUAUGUCUCAGAACACCGAUUGCGAAGGCAGCUUACUAUGGUCUUAUUGACGCUGAGGCACGAAAGCGUGGGGAUCAAACAGGAUUAGAUACCCGAGU